GCAGGCUGCAACUCGCCUGCAUGAAGUUGGAGUUGCUAGUAAUCGCGGAUCAGAAUGCCGCGGUGAAUGCGUUCCCGGGUCUUGUACACACCGCCCGUCACACCAUGGAAGUUGGGGGCGCCCGAAGUUGGUCAAGAAGAGAUUACCCUAAGGCGAAAACCCAAUGACUGGGGUGAAGUCGUAACAAGGUAUC
rnacentral:rRNA from 1 species